rnacentral:piRNA from 1 species
UCAAAAGAACCUAAUUUUUGUAAACUGCGC